rnacentral:rRNA from 1 species
GAUGAACGCUGGCGGCGUGCCUAAUGCAUGCAAGUCGAGCGAAUGGAUUAAGAGCUUGCUCUUAUGAAGUUAGCGGCGGACGGGUGAGUAACACGUGGGUAACCUGCCCAUAAGACUGGGAUAACUCGGGGAAACCGGGGCUAAUACCGGAUAACAUUUUGAACCGCAUGGUUCGAAAUUGAAAGGCCGCUUCGGCUGUCACCUAUGGAUGGCCGCGCGUCGCAUUAGCUAGUUGGUGAGGUAACGGCUCACCAAGGCAACGAUGCGUAGCCGACCUGAGAGGGUGAUCGGCCACACUGGGACUGAGACACGGCCCAGACUCCUACGGGAGGCAGCAGUAGGGAAUCUUCCGCAAUGGACGAAAGUCUGACGGAGCAACGCCGCGUGAGGGAUGAAGGCUUUCGGGUCGUAAAACUCUGUUGUUAGGGAAGAACAAGUGCUAGUUGAAUAAGCUGGCACCUUGACGGUACCUAACCAGAAAGCCACGGCUAACUACGUGCCAGCAGCCGCAGUAA